rnacentral:rRNA from 1 species
GAUGAACGCUAGCGGCAGGCCUAAUACAUGCAAGUCGAACGGUAACAGGGUAGCAAUACCGCUGACGAGUGGCGCACGGGUGCGUAACGCGUAUGCAACUUACCUUUAACAGGGGAAUAGCCCCGAGAAAUCGGGAUUAAUACUCCGUAACAUUGCGGGAUGGCAUCAUUCUGCAAUUAAAGAUUUAUCGGUUAAAGAUGGGCAUGCGUGACAUUAGCUUGUUGGUGAGGUAACGGCUCACCAAGGCAACGAUGUCUAGGGGUCCUGAGAGGGUUAUCCCCCACACUGGUACUGAGACACGGACCAGACUCCUACGGGAGGCAGCAGUAAGGAUAUUGGUCAAUGGGCGCAAGCCUGAACCAGCCAUGCCGCGUGCAGGAAGACGGCCCUAUGGGUUGUAAACUGCUUUUGUCAGGGAAUAAACCUGUCUACGUGUAGACAGCUGAAGGUACCUGGAAGAAUAAGCAUCGGCUAACUCCGUGCCAGCAGCCGCGGUAAU